rnacentral:rRNA from 1 species
UACAGAGGGUGCGAGCGUCAAUCGGAGUUACUGGGCGUAAAGGGCGCGUAGGCGGUCUAAUGAGUGUGAUGUGGAAGCCCCGGGCUUAACCUGGGAAGUGCAUCGCAAACGAUUGGACUGGAGUAUAUGAGAGGGUGGCGGAAUUUCCGGUGUAGCGGUGAAAUGCGUAGAGAUCGGAAGGAACGUCAAUGGCGAAGGCAGCCACCUGGCAUAAUACUGACGCUGAGGCGCGAAAGCGUGGGGAGCGAACAGG